AAGCACGCGCGGGAGAACGCGGGAGCAGGGCGCUAUCAAACACUAGCGUUUUAGUGUUUUAUAGCGCCCUGGCGGGAGCAAGGUCAGUCUCUUCCACAGUCGCUUUCAAAAGGGGGGAGAGGAAAACAAGAAAAAAUUUCUUUGUUGGGCGCGCGAAGAAUAACGAGAAGGCGAAGAUUUCGGCAACUUAUCACAGUCACUGA